rnacentral:rRNA from 1 species
UACGUAGGGUGCAAGCGUUUGUCCGGAAUUAUUGGGCGUAAAGAGCGCGUAGGCGGCGCUGUACGACCCGUGUGAAAGCCCCCGGCUCAACUGGGGAGGGUCACGGGUAACGGCAGUGCUCUGAGUGCAGGAGAGGGAAGUGGAACUCCGGGAGUAGCGGUGAAAUGCGUAGAGACCCGGAGGAACACCGGUGGCGAAGGCGGCUUCCUGGUCUGCAACUGACGCUGUGGCGCGAAAGCUAGGGGAGCAAACGGG